GCCAGGGCCCCAUUCACACUAUACAUUUAAAGCAUAAUAAUAAUAAUAAUAAUAAUAAUAAUAAUAAUAAUAAUUGUGCUUUAAAUGUAUAGUGUGAAUGGAGCCUGGC